rnacentral:rRNA from 1 species
AUACGAAGGGCCCGAGCGUUGCGCGGAAUUACUGGGCUUAAAGGGUGCGUAGGCGGAUGUGUAAGUGUCUUGUGAAAUCCCACGGCUUAACCGUGGAACUGCUUGGCAAACUACACAUCUUGAGCCUGACAGAGGCGACCAGAACUCUAGGUGGAGCGGUGAAAUGCGUAGAUAUCUAGAGGAAUGCCAAAGGUGAAGACAGGUCGCUGGGUCAGUGCUGACGCUGAGGCACGAAAGCGUGGGUAGCGAACGGAAUUAGAAACCCCAGUAGUCC